rnacentral:tRNA from 1 species
AGCCUUGAGGUGUUAACAUAUAUGAUUGCAAAUCAUAAGUAGCAGUUUUGUUCCUGCCUGGGCUU